rnacentral:rRNA from 1 species
AUUGAACGCUGGCGGCAGGCCUAACACAUGCAAGUCGAGCGGAUGAAGGGAGCUUGCUCCUGGAUUCAGCGGCGGACGGGUGAGUAAUGCCUAGGAAUCUGCCUGGUAGUGGGGGAUAACGUCCGGAAACGGGCGCUAAUACCGCAUACGUCCUGAGGGAGAAAGUGGGGGAUCUUCGGACCUCACGCUAUCAGAUGAGCCUAGGUCGGAUUAGCUAGUUGGUGGGGUAAAGGCCUACCAAGGCGACGAUCCGUAACUGGUCUGCGAGGAUGAUCAGUCACACUGGAACUGAGACACGGUCCAGGCUCCUAAGGGAAGCAGCAGUGGGGAAUAUUGGACAAUGGGCGAAAGCCUGAUCCAGGCAUGCCGCGUGUGUGAAGAAGGUCUUCGGAUUGUAAAGCACUUUAAGUUGGGAGGAAGGGCAGUAAGUUAAUACCUUGCUGUUUUGACGUUACCAACAGAAGAAGCACCGGCUAACUUCGUG